rnacentral:lncRNA from 1 species
AGGAUGGGUGCCUGCUCUACCUGCGCUGAGGGAGGAGGCCAGUAGAGUGGACGAAGAGAGGCACCGAGCCCCACAGGGUGAAAAGAAACCUUGGGGUGCAGGCCGGGAGUGGGGGAAAGAGCAUUGAAGAUGAAUCCAGGAGCUGUGGAAUAGGCUCAACUGCAUUGCAACACUCACCCCUAGAUACCAAGGCCUUCCUUCUCCACACAGCACACGGCAUCAUGUUAUUUCAGUCUGUUGAUUUCUUGAAUUUCCCAGAAUUACUGGACCAGAAGAUAGAAACACUUGGUAAGAUUUUGGAUUUUUUUGGCUAGAAUCACUUCUAGAAAGGUUGCACAAAUUUGUACUCUCACCAGUU